AGGCUCACAGGCGACGACGGGUAGCCGGCCUGAGAGGGCGACCGGCCACACUGGGACUGAGACACGGCCCAGACUCCUACGGGAGGCAGCAGUGGGGAAUAUUGCACAAUGGGCGAAAGCCUGAUGCAGCGACGCCGCGUGAGGGAUGACGGCCUUCGGGUUGUAAACCUCUUUCAGCAGGGAAGAAGCGAAAGUGACGGUACCUGCAGAAGAAGCGCCGGCUAACUACGUGCCAGCAGCCGCGGCGG
rnacentral:rRNA from 1 species